AUUGAACGCUGGCGGCAGGCCUAACACAUGCCAGUCGAACGGUAACAGGAAGAAGCUUGCUUCUUUGCUGACGAGUGGCGGACGGGUGAGUAAUGUCUGGGAAACUGCCUGAUGGAGGGGGAUAACUACUGGAAACGGUAGCUAAUACCGCAUAACGUCGCAAGACCAAAGAGGGGGACCUUCGGGCCUCUUGCCAUCGGAUGUGCCCAGAUGGGAUUAGCUAGUAGGUGGGGUAACGGCUCACCUAGGCGACGAUCCCUAGCUGGUCUGAGAGGAUGACCGGCCACACUGGAACUGAGACACGGUCCAGACUCCUACGGGAGGCAGCAGUGGGGAAUAUUGCACAAUGGGCGCAAGCCUGAUGCAGCCAUGCCGCGUGUAUGAAGAAGGCCUUCGGGUUGUAAAGUACUUUCAGCGGGGAGGAAGGGAGUAAAGUUAAUACCUUUGCUCAUUGACGGUACCCGCAGAAGAAGCACCGGCUAACUCCGUG
rnacentral:rRNA from 1 species